UGGUGAAGAUCAUGAUGAGCACCUUCUGCUUCGGGGAGCGCCUGCCGCCGCCGCCGCUGCUGAUGGCCGCGUUGCGCUGCGACUCCAGAGAGCAGCAGGACCUGAACGUCACCACAGAAACCAACAGGAACUGAUUUCAUUCACAUCUCAGCAGCGAGGGAGCCACGCGAGUCGCUCCUCCUCACUAAUUUUGCCUCUGGCUGGCUUUGUGAAUUCCCAGCAUGGCCUUAAGCAUUGUGCCUUCCACUACUUACAGCGCCCAGUUUUCCAGUUUCCAUCCCGAUCUCCACUGUUCACAUGCUUACACCUCGUCAAACAAGCAUUUAAAAGACACAGUCUGUAAUGGCAGCUUGACGUCAAGCCACCACUCGUUUAAUCAGCCCCAUUAGGUCUCGAAUCACCGCCCUGACACGACUGCCAACAGGGUCAGGACCUGUAGCUCAGCGUUUGCUGCUUUUCAGCAGGUGAAUUUUAUUCCGCUCACUACCCCCAGUGGAGUCUCUGACAUUUGCUGUUUGCCAUUCGUAUUCCCUCGCACGCUGUGAAACAUCUGGUUAGGUUUCAAAUUCAUCGUGGUCAUUAAAAGGAGAACUGCAUCUCUUGACAGCGUUUCUAAUUUUACUGGAACCUGCUGAGCUCCGGCCAUUCAGGACUUGUUGGGUCAUUAGGUGUUAGAGGAAAACAUAAAAGAUAUUUUACUGGCCUGGCCAGAGGCCAGUUGGCACCUGUGUCGACUGAAGAUCUGAUCAAAUGGGAUCAAGAGCAUGGGCAUGGAUUC